UUGCUUUCUUUGCUGGCGACCGGCGCACGGGUGAGUAACACGUAUCCAACCUGCCCUUUACUCGGGGGUAGCCUUUCGAAAGAAAGAUUAAUACCCGAUAGCAUAAUGAUUCCGCAUGGUUUCAUUAUUAAAGGAUUCCGGUAAAGGAUGGGGAUGCGUUCCAUUAGGUUGUUGGUGAGGUAACGGCCCACCAAGCCUUCGAUGGAUAGGGGUUCUGAGAGGAAGGUCCCCCACAUUGGAACUGAGACACGGUCCAA
rnacentral:rRNA from 1 species